ensembl:lncRNA
CCCCCCCAGUGCUUUGGAUAUAUUACCCCAAUCUAAAAAGAAAGCAAGAGCUUGUUUUUCAGCUGCUUUUUCAGCUAGGGCAGAUGGAAGUCUGCAAAGAGGCAGGCUCGCAUGCAGGAAAACAAGUCAGAUGCUACCUUGAAGUAGUCUGAUUAAAUUGCAUUGAAUCCCUGUGUGGGCACUUCAUCCAGCCAUAAAGUUGUUUAUCUUCUGUGACUUGCAAAAUAACUUAAAACUCUAUCACUUUGCUUCCAAAUUAGCGGAGUCUCAUCAGAGAACUCUAAAAAUGGUCAAAGAUCGUGUCACACUGUUAGGUAGUAUGGACAAGCUCUUCAUCACCAAUUGAGCCUUACGAGAAACGUCAUUAAAGUCAACUGAAGUUGUCAACCAUUGCAUGAGGGAGCUGGUGGCCUCAGUUUUUCUGAAGAAUAUUCCUGCAGCAUGCUUAAGGACCAAAUGGGUGAGGUUCUUCUGAUCAGAGGACAUCCUUGAGGAACACAAAACACUCUGGUUCUGAAAGCCCAGUUAUGCUAUCCAGGUUCUGUCCAGAAACCACGUCCUCAGUCUAGGGAUGGACCACUCUGACAUCCCAGAGAAACUGUGAAGCGGGAAUGGAACCUCACAGCAUCUGCAGAUUGCUCAGUGGCCAAAAUAAUAUGAACAUCUUUGAGGAAAUGAGAAGGAAGGGAAGGCAUCCCCACUGUCUUCCUCAUCAAUGGUGUUUUUUAGAGCAAUCUUUCUCCAGCCUCUCGAGUGGCAGAGGUAACUACCAGUUAAAGGAAAUGUCAGCAGGUCAUUUAAUGACUUUCCCUCUCUUCUAAGUGUUUGGCUCUUAAUUAUACAUAGAAAGAUACACAAGAGAUUAUAACAAGAGGAAUAGCAGGCAGCCAAAACCAAACUAAUUUAUUUAUUGCAUGUGACAUAUGGCAACAUAAGACAAGAUCUCUGGCUUAUGGGCAUUUUGGCAAGACACAGGCUGGAUCCUAUGGCAACGCCUUGUUUGUACAGCUUCCAUUUCUGCUGCUCAGUCCUGUUUUUUCUUUCAUGUCUCAUCUGUAGGCCUUCAAAGAGAGGACCUUAACCUUCCUUGGCUGGUUUUAACUUAGACAUUGCUUAGGCAUAUGCCCAUGGGUAAGAACCAUCCUGCUUCAAGGAGAUACAGCGUCUUAGAAAGCACUUUUGCCUGAAGUGUAAAUGGAGACAGUGAUGUUUACCUCUUUUAUCCACCUCAAAGUGUAGUGUGAGGGAUAGAUAAUGUUUUAAAGUGCCAUCUAAUUGUUGAGUGUUUUUCUUGUCAUCGGGUAAAGAACACAAGAGCAGCCAGUCUGGCUCAGAUCACCCCUCAACUUCCAACAUGGCCAAGACACUUGCCUUUACCCUUGUAUAGCCUUCAAUUGUUUCCCAUUGAGCCAAAAUAACAAUAAAUGGUUGCUUAUUCCUUUAACUGCCA